rnacentral:lncRNA from 1 species
AGAGUGUUGUCCACGGCUUGGUUCAAAAAGGCCAUAAGUUGAAUCGCCGACUCCACAUAGGGAGUCGCCGAUUCCUUUAGCUUUUUGAGCAAGUGUUGUCAAUGCCUUUUGCUCUGGCACUUUCACUUCCAUAUAGGUUGGAUUUUUCAUAGAAAAUCACCUAUCCACACUGAGUAGGCGAUUCCCACAGUUGAGUCGCCGACUCCCACACUGAGUAGGCGAUUCCCACAGUUGA